rnacentral:lncRNA from 1 species
AACACCCCAAAAUUUGCCCUCCUCAUUCAUGCAUUCAUUUAGCAUUUCAUAUUGCAUUUCAUCAUGUCAAUCAGAAUUAGAUCCAAGAAACUUUAAAAAAAAUAAAAAAUAAUAAUAAUAAUAAUAAUAAUAAUAAUAAUAAUUUUUUACAAAAAAAUAAAUAAAUAAAUAAAAAUAAUAAUAAAAAAAUAAAUAAAAUAUAAUAGAAAAAACUUGGCAUUGGACCUC